rnacentral:rRNA from 1 species
UACGUAGGGGGCCAGCGUUGCUCGGAAUUACUGGGCGUAAAGGGUUCGUAGGCGGCGCGGCAAGUCGGGAGUGAAAUCUCUGGGCUUAACUCAGAGGCUGCUUUCGAAACUGCCGUGCUCGAGUGCGAGAGAGGCCAGUGGAAUUGCAGGUGUAGCGGUGAAAUGCGUAGAUAUCUGCAGGAACACCCGUGGCGAAGGCGGCUGGCUGGAUCGCAACUGACGCUGAGGAACGAAAGCUAGGGGAGCAAACAGG